rnacentral:rRNA from 1 species
ACUCCUACGGGAGGCAGCAGUCGAGGAUCAUUCGCAAUGCGCGAAAGCGUGACGAUGCGACGCUGCGUGGAGGAUGACAGCCUUAGGGUUGUAAACUCCUGUCAUGAGGGAAAAAUAGCCAUAGGGUUAAUAGCCUUAAGGUAUGAUGGUACCUCAAGAGGAAGCCACGGCUAACUCUGUGCCAGCAGCCGCGGUAAUACAGAGGUGGCGAGCGUUGUUCGGAUUUACUGGGCGUAAAGGGUGCGUAGGUGGUAAUGUAUGUCGGAUGUGAAAUCCCGAGGCUCAACUUCGGAAUUGCAUUCGAAACUGCAUAACUUGAGUACAGGAUGGGAGAGCGGAAUUCUUGGUGUAGCGGUGAAAUGCGUUGAUAUCAAGAAGAACACCGGAGGCGAAGGCGGCUCUCUGGAAUGUUACUGACACUGAGGCACGAAAGCUGGGGGAGCGAACAGGAUUAGAUACCCUGGUAGUCCCAGCCGUAAACGGUGCACACUUGGUGUUGGCGGUAUUGACCCCGCCAGUGCCGGAGCUAACGCGUUAAGUGUGCCGCCUGGGGAGUACGGCCGCAAGGCUAAAACUCAAAGAAAUUGACGGGGGCCCGCACAAGCGGAGGAGCAUGUGGCUUAAUUCGAUGCAACGCGAAGAACCUUACCAGGGCUUGACAUGGGGACCCUUCGGGGGUGGGUACGAAAGUACCCUUUACCAUCACAGGUGCUGCAUGGCUGUCGUCAGUUCGUGCCGUGAGGUGUUGGGUUAAGUCCCGCAACGAACGCAACCCCUGUGGUUAGUUGCCACCGCCGGUGAUAAGCCGGCGAGCACUCUAGCCAGACUGCCCGUGCAAGCGGGAGGAAGGUGGGGGACGACGUCAAGUCAGUAUGGCCCUUACGCCC